rnacentral:rRNA from 1 species
ACGGCUCAGUAACACGUGGACAACCUGCCCUUGAGACGGGGAUAAACCCGGGAAACUGGGUAUAAUACCCGAUAGAUCUCGAUUGCUGGAAUGCAUCGAGCUUGAAAGCUCCGGCGCUCAAGGAUGGGUCUGCGGCCUAUCAGGUAGUAGUGGGUGUAGCGUACCUACUAGCCUACGACGGGUACGGGUUGUGAGAGCAAGAGCCCGGAGAUGGAUUCUGAGACACGAAUCCAGGCCCUACGGGGUGCAGCAGGCGCGAAAACUUUACAAUGCUGGAAACAGCGAUAAGGGGACCUCGAGUGCCAGGUUACAAAUCUGGCUGUCGUGAUGCCUAAAAAGCAUUGCAUAGCAAGGGCCGGGCAAGACCGGUGCCAGCCGCCGCGGUAACACCGGCGGCUCGAGUGGUAACCGUUAUUAUUGGGUCUAAAGGGUCUGUAGCCGGCCGGAUAAGUCUCUUGGGAAAUCUGGCAGCUUAACUGUCAGGCUUUCAGGAGAUACUGUCUGGCUCGAGGCCGGGAGAGGUGAGAGGUACUUCAGGGGUAGGGGUGAAAUCUUGUAAUCCUUGAAGGACCACCAGUGGCGAAGGCGUCUCACCAGAACGGACCUGACGGCAAGGGACGAAAGCUAGGGGCACGAACCGGAUUAGAUACCCGAGUAGUCCUAGCCGUAAACGAUACUCGCUAGGUGUCGGCAACGGUGCGACCGUUGUCGGUGCCGUAGGGAAGCCGUGAAGCGAGCCACCUG